rnacentral:rRNA from 1 species
UACGUAGGGGGCAAGCGUUGUCCGGAUUUAUUGGGCGUAAAGAGCGUGUAGGCGGCCAGACAGGUCCGUUGUGAAAACUCGAGGCUCAACCUCGAGACGCCGAUGGAAACCGUCUGGCUAGAGUCCGGAAGAGGAGAGUGGAAUUCCUGGUGUAGCGGUGAAAUGCGCAGAUAUCAGGAAGAACACCCGUGGCUAAGGCGGCUCUCUGGACCGAGACUGACGCUGAGGCGCGAAAGCGUGGGGGAGCAAACAGG